rnacentral:rRNA from 1 species
GACGAACGCUGGCGGCGUGCUUAACGCAUGCAAGUCGAACGAUGAACUUGGAGCUUGCUCUGGGGGAUUAGUGGCGAACGGGUGAGUAACACGUGAGUAACCUGCCCUGGACUCUGGGAUAACUUCGAGAAAUCGGAGCUAAUACCGGAUAGGACCUUGCACCGCAUUGUGUGGGGUGGAAAGUUUUUCGGUUUGGGAUGGACUCGCGGCCUAUCAGCUUGUUGGUGAGGUAAUGGCUCACCAAGGCGUCGACGGGUAGCCGGCCUGAGAGGGUGACCGGCCACACUGGGACUGAGAAACGGCCCAGACUCAUACGGGAGGCAGCAGUGGGGAAUAUUGCACAAUGGGCGCAAGCCUGAUGCAGCAACGCCGCGUGCGGGAUGACGGCCUUCGGGUUGUAAACCGCUUUUAGUAGGGAAGAAGCCUUCGGGUGACGGUACCUGCAGAAAAAGGACCGGCUAACUACGUGCCAGCCGCCGCCGUAACAC